rnacentral:rRNA from 1 species
CGCGUAGGCGGCCUGUUAAGUCGAACGUGAAAUCCCCGGGCUCAACCCGGGAACUGCGUCCGAUACUGGCAGGCUUGAAUCCGGGAGAGGGAUGUGGAAUUCCAGGUGUAGCGGUGAAAUGCGUAGAUAUCUGGAGGAACACCGGUGGCGAAGGCGGCAUCCUGGACCGGUAUUGACGCUGAGGCGCGAAAGCCAGGGGAAGGCAAACG